UACGUAGGGGGGCUAGCGUUGUCCGGAAUCAUUGGGCGUAAAGAGCGUGUAGGCGGCCCGGUAAGUCCGCUGUGAAAGUCGGGGGCUCAACCCUCGAAUGCCGGUGGAUACUGUCGGGCUAGAGUGCGGAAGAGGCGAGUGGAAUUCCUGGUGUAGCGGUGAAAUGCGCAGAUAUCAGGAGGAACACCGAUUGCGAAGGCAGCUCGCUGGGACGUUACUGACGCUGAGACGCGAAAGCGUGGGGAGCAAACAGG
rnacentral:rRNA from 1 species